rnacentral:tRNA from 1 species
UUAGAAGUGCCAGAUUAGAAUGGGUUGAAUUAAGGUUUCAAUAAUGGUUAUUAUUAUCCCUUCUAAG